CUGCACGAAUCAGGUGGUGUCCAGCGCGCAGGCGCAUACUUAUUCUCUGCGCGGCGUCCGUUUCUCCAGACUUUCCACUUUUGGCAAGCUAUGUUCCCUGGCUUGUGUCCAGUCUACAAAAGGUCUUAAAACCACGGAGCAGGGCUUUAAGCGUUUAGGAUCUCGCUUUUUGCAGGCUUUUGACAAGAAGGCUCAGAUCUCCACUAACCAGUGGCCACAUUUUACCAUCAUGAUCAUUGAGUAGCUCACAACCAAACCGUUUGCUUUAUCACAGCAAGAAGAGUGAGGAGAGCCAAAAAUGUCACAGAAGAAAGACAACUCAGAACAACCACCCUCAGCCUCCCAAGUCCAGGACACUGGGUCGACGACUCUUCACAACUUCUUCAGGCUGAAUAUGGAUGUUGAGAUAUCUUGAAGGGGGCUAGGGAAAAUGGCCUUAAGAAGGCCACCCAACAAUUGAUGCAGUCUCUGAUGUUUGUCCUGACUGGAUCUGGCCAAAAGCCCCUGAGAUCAGGAGUUCAAGCAGGGAGAAGCUGGAGGAAACUGAGGAGGAGGGCAACCCUGUAGGAGGACCAGCAGUCUCAACCUGGACCCUGAGAUCUCUCAGACACUGGACCACCAACCAGGCAGCAUGCACCAGCUGAUAUGAGGCCCCCAGCACAUAUACAGCAGAGGACUGCCAGGUCUGCGUACAGUCAGAGAAGAUGCACCUAACUCUCGAGACUGGAGGUCCCAGGAGAGGGGAGGUCUGAUGGGGGAGCAUCCUCGUGGAGACCGGAGGAGGUAUGGGAUGUGGAACAGUCAGAGAGUAGACCCAGAGGGGGAUAAAAUCUGGA
ensembl:lncRNA